rnacentral:rRNA from 1 species
UACGGAGGGGGCAAGCGUUGUUCGGAAUUACUGGGCGUAAAGGGCGCGCAGGCGGCUGCUCAAGUCAGGCGUGAAAGGCCUGGGCUCAACCCGGGAAUUGCGCUUGAGACUGGGCUGGCUUGAGUGCGGGAGAGGAUGGUGGAAUUCCUGGUGUAGCGGUGAAAUGCGCAGAUAUCAGGAAGAACACCCGUGGCUAAGGCGGCUCUCUAGUACGGUACUGACGCUGAGACGCGAAAGCGUGGGGAGCGAACAGG